CAAGUAAGUCAAGCGAUAGCCCCGACGUUACGUCGGGGAGGAAAGUCGGGACACUGACCCCGCCUCGGCGGGGAAGCGUAGCGGGUAACGCCCGUCCACCGCAAGGUGCGAGGUGCGAACAGAAACGUUCCAAGGCGAAAGCCGAGGAAGGGCCCGAUCCCAACGUAGAAGGCCCAGCUCCGCCAUAGGGACAAGAAAGCGGAGAUGAAACGGCAAAAUCCUUACGUCAGUGCAAGGCCGAGCCAGGCGCCGUCUGGUGCCUGGAGCGCCGCAUGAACCCGAGAGUAAUCAAGGGUCCAGACAGAUUAUCGCAUAAACAGAAUCCCGCUUACGACUUGCUGGCUAU
rnacentral:RNase_P_RNA from 1 species